rnacentral:rRNA from 1 species
UACGUAGGUGGCAAGCGUUGUCCGGAUUUACCGGGCGUAAAGGGCGCGUAGGCGGCCUUCUAAGUCAGACGUGAAAUCCCUCGGCUCAACCGGGGAACUGCGUCUGAUACUGGGAGGCUUGAAUCCGGGAGAGGAAUGCGGAAUUCCAGGUGUAGCGGUGAAAUGCGUAGAUAUCUGGAGGAACACCGGUGGCGAAGGCGGCAUUCUGGACCGGCAUUGACGCUGAGGCGCGAAAGCCAGGGGAGCAAACGGG